rfam:Anisakis simplex genome assembly, scaffold: ASIM_contig0020731
GCCUCAUUGGCUCAGGGGCAGAGCGUCUGUCUCGUAAACAGAAGGUCGCUGGUUCGAUUCCAGCAUGAGGCA